GGCACUGUGGCUAAGCUGGUCAAAGUGCCUGUCUAGUAAACAGGAGAUUCCUGGGUUCAAAUCCCAGCAGUGCCU